ensembl:snoRNA small nucleolar RNA SNORA26
CCUUUUCUGUGCCCUUUUGAGGUUGGUGCUGUACCUUAAGAGGCUAACAGGAAGGGUAAAGGAACUCUCCAUUAAACCCAGAGCAGAGGCUGUGCACCUCCUCUUAGAUCCUGUCUGGAGUCACAGAU